rnacentral:rRNA from 1 species
CAGCCGCCGCGGGAAUACGUAGGUGGCAAGCGUUGUCCGGAAUUAUUGGGCGUAAAGGGCUCGCAGGCGGUUUCUUAAGACUGAUGUGAAAGCCCCCGGCUCAACCGGGGAGGGUCAUUGGAAACUGGGAAACUUGAGUGCAGAAGAGGAGAGUGGAAUUCCACGUGUAGCGGUGAAAUGCGUAGAGAUGUGGAGGAACACCAGUGGCGAAGGCGACUCUCUGGUCUGUAACUGACGCUGAGGAGCGAAAGCGUGGGGAGCGAACAGGAUUAGAUACCCCGGUAGUCCCUGUCUCUUAUAC